GUGCCAGCAGCCGCGGUAAUACGGAGGGUGCAAGCGUUGUUCGGGAUUACUGGGCGUAAAGAGCGUGUAGGCGGCUUGGUCAGUCGGAUGUGAAAUCCCGGGGCCCAACCCCGGAACUGCAUCCGAUACUGCCUGGCUUGAGUCUCGGAGAGGAAGGCGGAAUUCCGGGUGUAGAGGUGAAAUUCGUAGAUAUCCGGAGGAACACCAGCGGCGAAGGCGGCCUUCUGGACGAUGACUGACGCUGAGACGCGAAAGCGUGGGUAGCAAACAGGAUUAGAUACCCUGGUAGUCCACGCCGUAAACGUUGAGUGCUGGACGUCGGAGGUAUUGACCCCUUCGGUGUCGGAGCUAACGCGUUAAGCACUCCGCCUGGGGAGUACGGCCGCAAGGCUAAAACUCAAAGAAAUUGACGG
rnacentral:rRNA from 1 species